rnacentral:tRNA from 2 species
CGGGGUGUAGCUCAGCCUGGUAGAGUGCGUCGUUCGGGACGACGAAGUCGGAAGUUCGAAUCUUCUCACCCCGACCA